GUUGGACCUACUCAUGUAAAAAAGCUGGGGUUUAGCCCUGUGUGACCACAAAUGACUGCUGGGGAUAUUUUAUACACCAGAUAUAUGAGCCAAAGAUCUCAUCUUAUGUUUAUAUCCAUUUCAGAAUCUGCAGAAACAAAUGUGAAAAGCCCUUUCAGACACUGAAAUCCUGUCCCUGUCAAGCGUCUCUGUUGACUCACUGACCUUAGAUGAAGCAAGUGAAUACUGAUACAAGACACAAAAUGACCUCAGCAAAGAAGAAGCCAAAACAAUUCCUUGAUUUUGGGAGAAAAAUUAUUCAGCCCCCAUCUCUCUUCCACCCACAGCCUCCUUCUGGGGGCUGUGACUUUGUCUUACGCUUCAGCAGGAAACAUAUUUUUGGCUGAGUUUGAACUCUCUAGAGUGCGUUGGAUCUUACAGGUAUACUGUCAAAUGCAGUUUGUAUCAGAGGGGGAGUGCUUCACUUGAGUACAUCAAAGUGCUAAGGUUUCCUGUAAAAUUGAUCUUCAUGGUUUUCCAUACAUGCCUAGUUAUUUAUGUUUUGUUAUUACACGAUUUCAAAUAAAGUAAAAGUUAAAGGGAAGAAACGCUUUCUGUGCUCUGUAAGAGGGAUGUGGGACCAAGUUCACUUCAGCAGAGAGCUGAGUAAAUUGUUGAGAAGCAUGAUAAAAUAAGAUUGUACAGUCUUCUGGAAUUUUGUGUGGGUCAAUGAAUAGAGUAGGGAAGUAUGUUCCAUUAAUUUCUAAGGGAUAUUUCCUAUGUAUUGAUGAAGGGGCUCGAGUUCUGUUCAACACCAUGGAUGAUAUAACUGGAGAUCAUUAAAUGAAUUAGCUGUAUUAGCUGUUCCACCCAGUCACGUUUUACAGCUAAAAUCAUGGCGUCAGACCAGAUAUUCAUUUAAUGAAAUACCAGCAGUGGCCUUUUCUUAUAGGCCAGGUAUAGACCCUCUAAACUUUUGGAAAUUGGCAGCUUAAGAAUAUCUUGUGCUGGGUUAUUGUGUUUAAUAGACAUGGGC
rnacentral:lncRNA from 1 species